rnacentral:rRNA from 1 species
CAGCAGCCACGGGAACACGAAGGGUGCAAGCGUUACUCGGAAUUACUGGGCGUAAAGCGUGCGUAGGUGGUGGUUUAAGUCCGUUGUGAAAGCCCUGGGCUCAACCUGGGAAUUGCAGUGGAUACUGGGUCACUAGAGUGUGGUAGAGGAUAGUGGAAUUUCCGGUGUAGCAGUGAAAUGCGUAGAGAUCGGAAGGAACAUCUGUGGCGAAGGCGACUAUCUGGGCCAACACUGACACUGAGGCACGAAAGCGUGGGGAGCAAACAGGAUUAGAUACCCCGGUAGUCCCUGUCUCUUAUAC